CUGCUGGGAUACCAGGUCCAUCUUCACGAUGCGCAAAUAAAGCCAACCUGUCAAUUAAAGCAAUUAUUAUAUUUUUCACAUUAACAUUUUGGUGCAGCUCAGCACAAGCUCUGAGAAAUGGGUUCAAGGUUUGGAGAUGAAACUCAUCUGGGAAAACCUGUAUGAUACACUCCAUGAGGUACUCCUGAGCUAAAGCAUCUCUACAGUUUACAACCUGCUCCAAUAUUCCAGGCAGAACAAUCUGCUUAUAUCGUUCCACAUUAACACCUUCCAGCUGACUGAGGCGAACAAGGUUGGUUCCUACUAGGAUUCUCAGUUCCUGCCUUUCCCGCUCUCUCUUUUCUCUGUCCCUACUAUGGCCCUGGUGUUGCAUCCGCACCCAAAGUUUGUUCAUCUCAGCAAAGUUCAGCAGCACAAAGUCCAUAGAAUCACUGAUGUCUCCAGUGGUUUCUUCAUCUGCUUGCUCGCCUUCAUCUGGUAAAAUAUUCCUGGUACACUGCAGGAGAUAGUUGCGAAGAAAGAGGCCUCUAAGAGGAUGCUGUACUCCACGGCACAUCUCCACCAGGUCUUUCAAAAUAUCUUUCCUGGACUGUGGAAAUGACUUGACAUACACAACACCUACUGUUAUUAGGAGAUACAGUCUUGGAAUAAUAUUUCCAGCAUACUGUACUAGCUCAUAAAGGUCUGCCACUUUCCUUCCUUUGGCAAAUUCAUCCGUCAGGUAGACUUCCAAGUAGUGUAGCUCAUCAGAAAUUGCCAUGUAGAGCUCAUAAUAGCUCUUAGGAGAUAACAUAGAAGUCCGCAGCUCACCAAGCUUGUUGGACGCAUGUUUCAAAGCAUCCAUGAGCUUGUUUUUGUCCAAGCAUCUCUUCAUUUGGAAAGACUGCACCUUCACAGCCUGAAUGGCUUCAUCCAGGAGUUUUUCCUGUUCAUCCUGAGGAGAUUGCUGUGUUGUUGGCAUGGUCGCGCCGCUGCCACGAGC
rnacentral:lncRNA from 1 species